rnacentral:rRNA from 2 species
UGCCUUAGUAACGGCGAGUGAAGCGGCAACAGCUCAAAUUUGAAAUCUGGCCCUUUUUGCAAAAGGGGUCCGAGUUGUACUUUGCAGAGGAUGCUUUUGGCGCGGCGCCUUCCGAGUGCCCUGGAACGGGACGCCACAGAGGGUGAGAGCCCCGUCGGGUUGGAUGCCAAGCCUCUGUAUAGCUCCUUCGACGAGUCGAGUAGUUUGGGAAUGCUGCUCAAAAUGGGAGGUAUAUGUCUUCUAAAGCUAAAUAUUGGCCAGAGACCGAUAGCGCACAAGUAGAGUGAUCGAAAGAUGAAAAGCACUUUGAAAAGAGGGUUAAACAGUACGUGAAAUUGUUGAAAGGGAAGCGCUUGUGACCAGACAUGGGCGCCGGUACAUCAUCCAGUGCGUGUCACUGGUGCAUUUUGCCGGGCCCAGGCCAGCAUCGGUUUGCGGCAGGGGAGAAAGACAGCGGGAACGUGGCUCUCUAGAGUGUUUAUAGCCCGCUGUGUAAUGCCCUGUGGGACAGACCGAGGACCGCGCGUGUCAAAACGCAAGGAUGCUGGCGUAAUGGUCCCCAGCGACCCGUCUUGAAACACGGACCAAGGAGUCGUCUUCGUAUGCGAGUGUUGGGGUGUCAAACCCCUACGCGGAAUGAACGUGAAUGAAGGUGAGAGCCAUGAUUUUUUUUUGUGGCGCAUCAUCGACCGAUCCUGAUGUUCUUCGGAUGGAUUUGAGUAGGAGCAUACGGGGCCGGACCCGAAAGAAGGUGAACUAUGCCUGUAUAGGGUGAAGCCAGAGGAAACUCUGGUGGAGGCUCGCAGCGGUUCUGACGUGCAAAUCGAUCGUCAAAUAUGGGCAUGGGGGCGAAAGACUAAUCGAAC